AAACCCUCAAGCACAGCUUGGUGUUGGGUGCUUGUCCCGCCUCUGCGCGGCGACUCACCUCAAAGUCAUUGGCAGCCCGCAUCCGCCGGCCGUGAGCGCAGCACAGUCGCGCCCUAGGUCCCGGCAGGUCGGCUCUCCAGAAGCACUUCUUCCAC
rnacentral:misc_RNA from 1 species